rnacentral:rRNA from 1 species
GGAGUUUGGACCGUCUCUCAGUUCCAAUGUGGCCGAUCACCCUCUCAGGUCGGCUACCGAUCGUCGACUUGGUGGGCCGUUACCUCACCAACUAUCUAAUCGGACGCGAGCCCACCCCAAACCGGUUUGCACCUUUUACCCCUGCACCAUGUGAUGCCGUGGUCUUAUGCGGUAUUAGCACCUGUUUCCAAGUGUUAUCCCCCUGUCUGGGACAGGUUGCUCACGCGUUACUCACCCGUCCGCCACUAAGUUAUAUCGCAAUCCUGCCGAAGCUCUCAUCCGUUAUAACUCCGUUCGACUUGCAUGUGUUAAGCACGCCGCCAGCGUUCGUCCUGAGCCAGGAUCAAACUACU